rnacentral:rRNA from 1 species
UACAGAGGGGGCAAGCGUUGUUCGGAAUUACUGGGCGUAAAGGGCGCGUAGGCGGCCAUCUAAGUCAGACGUGAAAUCCCCCGGCUUAACCUGGGAACUGCGUCUGAUACUGGAAGGCUUGAGUAUGGGAGAGGGAUGUAGAAUUCCAGGUGUAGCGGUGAAAUGCGUAGAUAUCUGGAGGAAUACCGGUGGCGAAGGCGGCAUCCUGGACCAUUACUGACGCUGAGGCGCGAAAGCCAGGGGAGCAAACGGG